CAGCCGCCGCGGUAAUACGAAGGGGGCUAGCGUUGUUCGGAUUUACUGGGCGUAAAGCGCACGUAGGCGGAUCGAUCAGUCAGGUGUGAAAUCCCAGAGCUCAACUCUGGAACUGCCUUUGAUACUGUCGAUCUGGAGUAUGGAAGAGGUGAGUGGAAUUCCGAGUGUAGAGGUGAAAUUCGUAGAUAUUCGGAGGAAUACCAGUGGCGAAGGCGGCUCACUGGUCCAUUACUGACGCUGAGGCGCGAGAGCGUGGGGAGCAAACAGGAUUAGAUACCCCAGUAGUCCCUGUCUCUUAUAA
rnacentral:rRNA from 1 species